GACGAACGCUGGCGGCGUGCUUAACACAUGCAAGUCGAGCGGUAAAGGCCCUUUCGGGGGUACACGAGCGGCGAACGGGUGAGUAACACGUGGGUAACCUGCCCUCAGCUCUGGGAGUAAGCCUGGGAAACCGGGUCUAAUACUGGAUAUGACUCCAUGACGCAUGUUGUGGGGUGGAAAGCCUUGUGCGGCUGAGGAUGGGCCCGCGGCCUAUCAGCUUGUUGGUGGGGUGAUGGCCUACCAAGGCGACGACGGGUAGCCGGCCUGAGAGGGCGACCGGCCACACUGGGACUGAGACACGGCCCAGACUCCUACGGGAGGCAGCAGUGGGGAAUCUUGCGCAA
rnacentral:rRNA from 1 species